UAAGGUACAUUUUGAAUAAGAAAUGUAUGAUUACAUAUUUUAAUUGAUUGACAGCCCUAAAUAUAAUACAUAAUAUAAUUAAUUUUGAUUAACUGAUUCAAGGAAUGUAAGCUACGCUCCAACAUACAGGUACUAAUAGAUCAUUAAUAUUUGUGUGCUGUGUUUUCAGUGUUGUUUCCUGGAUGACACGCCCCAAAUCAUAACUGUUAUCAAAAGGAUCUCCUGCACAUGGUCCUGAUAAACAUUUCUAGUAAUGAUUGAUCAGCAGAAGACACUAUUUAAGGCCGGGGAUUAACACAGGAACCACAAAGUAGAACUGCAUACAUAGACCGCCACUUUGAAAAUGGAGACGACGGCGUGUUUUCCACUGUUGCUGCUGAUCUGCUCUCUCUCCACGGCUCAGCUUCAGACAGAGUCUGACAACGACAUUAUUCCACAAGGAAAGCAAACUGAAUCUCAGGGAAGAGAACCAACAAAUGCCUCUCACCACCAACAGACCUGCACACAAGACAUCAAUGCUGUGCUGAGAGAGAUGAGCGCUGCGUUGGGAGAACAGAGGGUGGAGACGAGGCACUUACAGACAGAAAAUGAAGCACAGAACGCUAAACUGGAGAUGCAAAAGACUGAGGCGGACAAGCUGAAGCAACAGCUACAAGCACAGGCUGCUAUGCAAAAGACUGAAGUGGGCAAACUGAAGCAACAACUACAAGCACAGGCAGCUAAACUGGAGAUGCAAAAGACUGAAGUGGACAAGCUGAAGCAACAACUACAAGCACAGGCAGCAGAGCUGAUCUCCAUGAAAGCCAGAACAAAUGUCACAGAAAACCAGGUGGAGGCUCUGAAGAGAGAUGGAGAAGUCAAACAGGUGGCUUUCUCAGCCUCUCUGUUGGCUUCAGGCUCAGGACAUGUCGGACCAUUUAACACACACACUCCUCUGGUCUUCAGAUACGUCGUCACAAACAUCGGAAAUGCCUACAACCCAAACACAGGUUUUUUCAUUGCACCAGUAAGAGGAGCCUACCACUUUGAGCUCUACGUAGGUGCAUCUGGACAUGCUUCAUAUGCUUCAGGUGCUGUGUUGGUCAAGAACGGAGAGCAUAUUUUUAUUGCAUACGAGCAUCAGCCAUCCGGCCACGGCAGCUCUGCUAAUGGCGCCACACUGCUUCUAGAGGUCGGAGAUAUUGUGUUUCUGCGUCUGUGGGCUAACACAAGAAUAUAUGACAGUGUAAACCACCAUAGCACCUUCAGUGGCCAUCUGCUUUUCACCAUGUAAAUGGGAAACGGUCCUUUUUCUUCAGCUAUACAAUAGCCGUGCACACACUGCAGCAGCGUAUCAGUAUAUGUUGGUAAAAAUAUCAGUUAUUUUUUACUUAAUAUGAAAGUUGAUUGACUACGCUGCACAACAACAAUAAUCUUUUUAAUGAGAACAUAUUCAUGAAAUUUUUCAUCUGUGUCUUUCUGGCUUUGCCUCAAAAUACACAGUGAGGGAAUCAGGGUCUGAAAUAAGCACCCGCCACCCGCCAAAUGCAGUGAAAUUGUUGGCAGUGGUGGGUAAAAUUGUCAGGCCAUUCACCACUUUGGCAGACAGGGAAAACGCUAGAGAUGGGAAUAGAGAACCGGUUCCUUUAAUGAACGGGUUCUUAGUUGUCUCAGCAUCUCACGCCUCCGUGACUAUCGAUUUCUCUGUAUUGAUGCUUUCUGACAGAUACGCAUGCACAAUGAUGCACACGCACACUGUAUCACUUUUCAGUUUGGUGCUACUAAACCUGACGGGGCGCACCCUAUUAUUUCCCUGAUAAUGCGACACUGAACAACAAAAACAGGAGGAGAGGUAGUAACGUUACCUGUUAGCAGCCGGUGGGCAGCACAGUCCUGAUUGGCUAAAUAGUGGAGCUACUAACGUUAACAGAGGUGCCAUUGAGUUAUUAUUAUGAGGUGUUCAAACUCUGCCUAGGAAAAAUGACUAUUGGGCAAGGGCAAAUUACAACGUUAUGUGUUCAAAUGUUCGAAUGUAAUUCGGAGCUGUUUAACUUCCCAACACUAGCUCUUAUUAGCUUGACAAUAUUUUUUUUAAUCAAAGCAAAUAUUUAAAUAAUCAUAAUCAUUUAAACUGUGUUUUUAUGCAAACAACCACUACAGAUGACAAUAACGUAAUACAGUACUGUGUACAGUAUCAGAAAAAUAGGGCUCCCCGGAACUUACGGUGUAAUUCAAAUACUGUAAUAAACCAUGCAUAUGAUGUUUUUUGUGUAAAAUAUAUCGAACAUUGAAUGACAUCAGAUCUAAAAUGUUAUUCCUUUGUUUAGCACAGAGAUUUCAAAAGUGGCAGAUCAAAUUUCUGUGAGUGGAAGAGAAAAAUAAAAUACUUGUGUACUGUGUGUAAAUGAUCUGAUUACUGCUCGUUGGACCACAGCAUCCAAUCAAACCACUUCAUUUUUUUUCCUUUACUUUGUUCAAUAGAAACUUGAAUUGUCUUGUACUGUUAAUAUGAGAGGGGGAAUUCCCUUUAUUCGUUUGAAUACAUGAGAAAGUAGUUAUUUGAAUGUAUGUAAUUAUGUAGACAGUACUGCAUCAGUACCAGCAAAUUAAAGUCUCAUUAACAGUAUUUAUCCUGUACAUGAAAGCUGCAUGACAAAGCUUCAUGGCAACAAUAAUUUGUACAUAUUGUAUUAUUUUCAAGUUCUCUUACAUUUGAAUAAAAGCACAUACAUAUCACUGCAAUGCUAUCUGUGUACUUUUCUACAACACAUGCUUCAGACAGAGUCUGACAACGACAUUAUUCCACAAGGAAAGCAAACUGAAUCUCAGGGAAGAGAACCAACAAAUGCCUCUCACCACCAACAGACCUGCACACAAGACAUCAAUGCUGUGCUGAGAGAGAUGAGCGCU